UACGUAGGGCGCAAGCGUUGUCCGGAAUCAUUGGGCGUAAAGAGCGUGUAGGCGGCUAUUUAAGUCCUGCGUGAAAUCCUGCGGCUCAACCGCAGACGGUCGUGGGAAACUGGAUGGCUAGAGUGCGGGAGAGGAGAGUGGAAUUCCCGGUGUAGCGGUGAAAUGCGCAGAUAUCGGGAAGAACACCCGUGGCGAAGGCGGCUCUCUGGAACGCAACUGACGCUGAGACGCGAAAGCGUGGGGGAGCAAACAGGG
rnacentral:rRNA from 1 species